GAAUCUUGCGCAAUGGGCGACAGCCUGACGCAGCGACGCCGCGUGCGGGAAGAAGGCCUUCGGGUUGUAAACCGCUUUCAGGAGGGACGAAGCCACUCGGGUGAAUAGCCCAGAGGGUGACGGUGCCUCCAGAAGAAGCCCCGGCUAACUACGUGCCAGCAGCCGCGGUAAUACGUAGGGGGCAAGCGUUGUCCGGAUUUAUUGGGCGUAAAGAGCGUGUAGGCGGCCAAGCAGGUCCGCUGUGAAAACUCGAGGCUCAACCUCGAGAUGUCGGUGGAAACCGUUUGGCUAGAGUCCGGAAGAGGAGAGUGGAAUUCCUGGUGUAGCGGUGAAAUGCGCAGAUAUCAGGAAGAACACCCAUGGCGAAGGCAGCUCUCUGGGACGGUACUGACGCUGAGACGCGAAAGCGUGGGGAGCGAACAGG
rnacentral:rRNA from 1 species